CUGUCUGUAUGGAUGGGUAGACGUUGUGCAGGAGUAGUGCUUGGUAAGUUUGUGCUUGGUGAUAUCGGGAGCUUUCUCCGGUAUCGGUGUUGAGUCGGCUCUGAUCUAGGCUUGUUGUGUCGGUCUAGAUUAGGUUAUUUUUGGAUUUUGUUUUGUUGGAGAUUACCCGUUUGUUUGGGAUUUUUUAGAUGCAUCUAUGUGAUGUAAUUUAUUG
rnacentral:lncRNA from 1 species